rnacentral:rRNA from 1 species
CCUACGGGGGGCUGCAGUGAGGAAUAUUGGUCAAUGGACGGAAGUCUGAACCAGCCAUGCCGCGUGCAGGAAGACGGCUCUAUGAGUUGUAAACCGCUUUUGUACGAGAAUAAUAGUUCUUACGUGUAGGGAUAUGAAUGUAUCGUACGAAUAAGGAUCGGCUAACUCCGUGCCCGCAGGCGCGGGAAUACGGAGGAUUCGAGCGUUUUCCGGAUUUAUUGGGUUUAAAGGGUGCGUAGGCUGUCGGUUAAGUUAGAGGUCAAAUGUCGGGGCUUAACCCCGUGCCUGCCUCUGAUACUGUUGGACUAGAGAGCGGAUGCAGCAGGCGGAAUGAGUGGUGUAGCGGUGAAAUGCUUAGAUAUUACGCAGAACACCGAUUGCGCAGGCAGCUUGCUAGUCCGCGUCUGACGCUGAGGCACGAAAGCGUGGGUAGCGAACAGGAUUAGAUACCCUAGUAGUC